CCUACGGGAGGCUGCAGACGAGAAUAUUCCGCAAUGGGCGAAAGCCUGACGGAGCGACGCCGCGUGAUUGAUGAAGUGCUUCGGUACGUAAAGAUCUUUUAUCAGGGACGAAGUUUAUUGACGGUACCUGAUGAAUAAGGGGCUCCUAACUCUGUGCCAGCAGGAGCGGUAAUACAGAGGCCCCAAGCAUUACCCGGAAUCACUGGGCGUAAAGGGUGUCAAGGCGGCUUUAUUAGUCUCCCGUAAAAUCCGUGGGCUUAACCUACGGCCGGCGGGGGAAACGGUAAAGCUCGAGGGCGCGAGAGGUGCACGGAACUCAUGGUGGAGGGGUGAAAUCCGUUGAUAUCAUGGGGAACACCAAAUGCGAAGGCAGUGCACUGGCGCGUUCCUGACGCUCACACACGAAAGCCAGGGUAGCGAACGGGAUUAGAUACCCUUGUAGUC
rnacentral:rRNA from 1 species